rnacentral:lncRNA from 1 species
GAAAAUUAUAAGCAACAUAUAAGAUAUAACACCAUCGAGCCGGCAAGGUACAACCCUCUCCUGUACACUGUACAUGCUAAACAAAAAUAGGUGUAUGGAAAGUAAAAUUGUGUCAAAUAUAUUAAGUUUAUUGUAUGGUUUGAUCUAAUCUAAUCAACACAUAUAUCCUCCAACUGCAUAUUGUGCCGGGCAAAAAUUAUGUAAACUACUGAAUCUACAAAAACCAUCUAGAAAUAGCAGCAACAUAUUGUGUCCAAUAAUUGCAUUCAGCCAGUACAAACAAUAUAAGUGCCACAUAACUAGGUAAGACAAUCAUCUCCAAUAGAUACAGGACAAUUAUUUUCAGUAGUGUGUGUACUACUGUAGCAAGGGGUACUCCCACCAGCCAGAAUGUUCACACAAGUAAGCUCUUCAGCCAACAUUUAGGCCUGCAUUAUUUGUUGUGGUGGAUAUGUUGGGCUGCUAUCAGAAGGGUGGUGGUGGUGGUGGUGAGCCGCCUGGGCCCGGGGGUCCGAAGAAUGGGGCGCAGCAGUCUUGGAGCAGGCAGCAACAACAGAGGAGGUAGAACUGCACAAGAAGUAUUCGUCCUGAGUUUCAGAGAAUAUAAACAAUCUGUUUCAAACAGGGAAAAAAAUUCAAAGGAAGAAAUAUAAACGAUCGACUAAUGUAUGCUUCGCCACUUAUAUAUUGCAAUUUGAUUGAGUUGACCACUAAACCACUAACCAUCUAACUGAAUGAAUUGCUUUCUCUUUUCUUUUGGAGAUGUUGAUGUUGAUAAUACUAAUUUGAUGAUUUCGCUGGCAAAAAUGCACAGUUUAAAUUUCUGUUAGUAGCUGAGGAUUCAACUUACCAGGACCCGAAGAAGCCACCAAACCAAGGCCCCCAAGAACCAGGGCCAGGGCCUCCCCAACCUGGUCCUCCAGGCCCACGAGGACCCAUUCCACCAACACAGAAACAACUGGUUAAUACAGACUACAGCUUCACAAGAACUCAGCCAGGACACAAUACAAGAGUUGAUGCCCCAAUUGGAGAUGAAGAAGAAUUUAUAGAUGUAGGGUGAGAAUAAGUAGCUGUACAUGCACCUGCCGUUCCAAGGAUCACCUCUGAGUCUUGACUCUCACCCACUGGUCAGUCAGGUCUAUGUUCCAAGUUCCAACUACUAUUCUGAACCCUCAGCCUACUCUUGCCUUGCAUUACGAGUACAAGUUUGAGUUCAUUCUAAUCAACACCUGUGUCCUCCCAAUAGCAUAUAGUGUAUGUUAAAGUAAAACAACAGUCGGCAAAAAUACGUGAACAUCUGAAUCUAGAAACAGCAGCUACAAAUUGUGUUAGGUAUUUAUAUAUGCAAAGUAAGUACAUCUUAAGUUAUUAGCAUCAUCGGUGAGCUUAUAUUGCUUCAUUAUAUCACUUUGCUUACAUGUCAGAGAACACCCUCUGACGAGAAACAAUAUUAGGCUUCUGUUUCUGUGUGCUGAAAAGAUGAUAAUCAAGCUGAGGGAAGAGAGCAGGCUGAAAAUGUGUUUUUGGCUUCAACUUAUAAGGAAGAAGCAGAUAAAACUAAGUGUCUUUUUCCAGCCAUAAUCCCUGUAUGUUACAUGUCCCUCAUGUCUUGCCAAUUACCACGACGGUCAUUCGCUGCAGAUACAAAUGAUCUUUCAUGUAAAGUCUGCACAUAAUAAAAUUCAGCGGCAGUUCCUUGUUUAGACGGAAAAAAUCUGCUACUCUUGGCAACAUACGUUUAUGAUCUACAGACUAUUGGUCGACUUAUCUGAAAAAUACUUUGUACAGACUACAGAAACAUUGUCCAUAUGGUUUUGAUUUUUGUACAUAACCAGAUUACCAAUAGUAUCAGAAGCCUACUUGUAUAGAACAGUAUAUUUUGUACAGAACCGUCCAAAGUGUUUGCUGCUCAUGUAGCUUAAUCAAUUAACCUUGUAAGGCCUUUUUUCCUCCGGUGAAGUUUUUAUAGUGUGUUUGAGUACGAUUCUGGGGAUAGAAAAUAGUGCAAGUUUCUGCAUAUUUUCUACUAUGGCUGGUAUGAAGCUCCGAACUGUGAGUUUGCAUCUGAUUUCACAUGCUGGCUUAUGAAAAAUGAAUUAUGACAGAACAUUUCACUGAGCAGUGGACUAUGAUGCAACCAUUUAAUUUAACUACUACUGCUCCAUGGUCUUCUAAAAAUUCAGAUGUAGCUUACAAGUCAACAAAGAAUCUGUCUAUGCUCAUCGUCAGCUUCAACGAAGGGUAGAAACAGGGAACACCCCUACUAAUAAUGACUAUUAAGAAGACCACUAAAUAAAAAUGGUAAUGUCAAUUCUUCAAUUCAAGAAAUAUGGUACUAAGAACUAAGAACUAAGAACAACAACAACAACAACAACAACAACAAAGCCUUUAGUCCCAAACAAGUUGGGGUAGGCUAGAGGUGAAACCAAUAAGAUCUCGCAACCAACUCAUGGCUCUGGCACAUGGAUAGCAAGCUUCCACGCACCCCUGUCCAUAGCUAGCUCUUUGUCGAUACUCCAAUCCUUCAGGUCUCUCUUAACGGACUCCUCCCAUGUCAAAAUCGGUCGACCCCGCCCUCUCUUGACAUUCUCCGCACGCUUUAGCCGUCCGCUAUGCACUGGAGCUUCUGGAGGCAUGCGCUGAAUAUGCCCAAACCAUCUCAAACGAUGUUGGACAAGCUUCUUCUCAAUUGGUGCUACCCCAACUCUAUCUCGUAUAUCAUCAUUCCGGACUCGAUCCUACCUCGUGUGGCCACACAUCCAUCUCAACAUACGCAUCUCCGCCACACCUAACUGUUGAACAUGUCGCCUUUUAGUCGGCCAACACUCCGCGCCAUACAACAUUGCGGGUCGAACAGCCGUCAUGUAGAACUUGCCUUUUAGCUUUUGUGGCACUCUCUUGUCACAGAGAAUGCCAGAAGCUUGGCGCCACUUCAUCCAUCCGGCUUUGAUUCGAUGGUUCACAUCUUCAUCAAUACCCCCAUCCUCCUGCAACAUUGACCCCAAAUACCGAAAGGUGUCCUUCCGAGGUACCACCUGGCCAUCAAGGCUAACCUCCUCCUCCUCACAGCUAGUAGUACUGAAACCGCACAUCAUGUACUCGGUUUUAGUUCUACUAAGCCUAAACCCUAUCUUUUGGGUUUCAUCUCCAUAAGAGUGGCUGAGUUUUUACGUUGGCUCGCCAAGCCUAUCACAACCCUCCUCCUUUACCCGGGCUUGGGACCGGCUAUGUUGAGACAACAUAGGCGGAGUUAACUAAGAACUAAGAACACCACUAGAAAAUUCAAUUCCUGCCGACACAUGAGGUGGUUCAGCUGGCAAAUAUUUCAAAAGCAGAGCAAAGCAUCAACACGGCAUUAAUCACUUCAACCAAAAGGGAGACAAGCAAUAUAACAUUCAGAGCUUAUGAUCCUAACUUAUAUUACAUCAAUGCCUAAAAACAAGAUGCCAGCAGGCUCAUAGUUGAUCAUUCCAUAGAUAUUGCGGCUCAUAAGGAAACGACAGCUAGUCCGUUAAGAACCACCACCUCACUGAACAGCGAUCAGAUGAAAAGUGAAGCAUUCACAGCAUAACCUUUUAGAGCCGGAAAAAAGGUAUGCUGAACAAGACUUUGCUUGAGCUGACAAUGAUAAACACAGAGGCGUUGGAGAUCAAAAUUGAAACUGUCAAUCAAUUUGCCAUCUGUGUCAAUGUGAAACGCCGACCAACCAAAAUUGACCAGCAAGAGCAUGCCACCAUCCCCCGAAACAUCGUUCACAUCCCAAAGAUUAAUAUCCCGAAAGUCAUAGUCUACAUAAUCUUUGACCCGGCCCCUGAUUUCUUCAACUGGCAGUCUGAUUUGGUACUUUAAAUCCCAAACCUCGCUUUCGUAGUUCUGCAACACCCAUAUACCAACAGUGUUCUUAUCAUCGUCAUGGCAAUAGAUGCCAAGCAUGCCACCCUUCUCAAAGAUAUAUCCCUGGGUGGGAACAAUUGGAGAAUGCAUCUGCCGGAACGACUCGGCUAUGGUGUCGAAUACUAUUAUGGGUUUGCUUUCACGCUGUGUGCUUCCCCUCCGAUGAUACACUGGGUUUGGGUACCAAUGCAGACCAUCACGCACGUGGACAGGUUCGUCGAGCAACUCUGCCUUCGUCUCCGGCCACCCGAUGUACCUCGGUGACUGGUCGGGUCCCAACGGAAGGACAAAGCAGCCAAUUUGAUCUUUCGGCGAGUCCUUGCGGCUCGCCUGGUGCAGUAGCAGGCGGUACUCGCCGGUAGGUCGGUGUGGGUAUAUCCCCAAGGUGUCAAAGUCCCACGGCGGCCCUACGACGGAGGCGAGCUCACGCGUGGUCGGGUUGCAGAUAGAGAUGUGGGAUCCGCAUAUACCCUUGUAGUACGUGGAGAGGACGAGGAGGCCGUCGCACGAGGCAUCCACAUAUAAGUGCCUGUCAAGCCGGGCGACCCUAUGGAGCUGCGCGUUUGCGGCGGCCCGGUGGUCGAAGGCGAGAAUGUCAUGGUGGCGGAAGGCGAGGACGCAUCGUUCGCCAGACAAAAUGUGGAAGGUGGGCUGGCGGGCGUGGUGGGCGAGGAGGAAGCCGUGGGCGGAGGUGGCGCGGCGCCAGGAGCGGCGGACGGCGCGGCAGCGGAGGAGGGAUUUGGGGUUGAGGCGGACGAGGAUCUCCCAGAUCACGAUCUCAUCGGGGAGGCUGCUGAGGAGAGGCGUCGCUCGUCCUGCCGCGGCCACCUCCGCCAUGAUCGCCGGCUGGGAACGACAAGAAUCGUGCGCUUGUGCUGGUGGCGGCGGAGCGGAGGGGAGGAGAUUGAAAUGGGCACGGCCCAGGUUCUCUUGGAUGAGAGAAAUAGUGUCCCUCAAAUGGGCUGGGCUUAGCCCAGAAGCAGAUUACUGCGGACUUCUUCAUUUUGGCAGUGAGAUCACUGAGAAAUUUGGUAGGUAUUGCAACGGAUUUUUAAUUUGCUUGGUGUAAUGUAUUGUACUGCAACAAUUCUUCCUUGCCACCGGAAAAUAGAUUUUUGUUUUCAAAAAAGAAGAAAAAUAUUUUUCCUAGAGAAAAAAAAAUGUUUUUUCCCUUAAAAAAUACUGCUCCCUCCGUUCACUUUUGUAAGCCGUUUCAGACAACUGAAAACGGACUGUUUUGCACAUUGUCUGAAAUGUCUUCAAGGCCUUAUAAAAGUGAACAGAGGGAGUACGACGUACACAAGAACUUAUGUGUCCUCGUAUAUGGUACACAUUUUGUUUCUUUGAACGUAUAUAUGUUAAAGAUCAAACAUCACACCAAGCAAUGGAGAAGGGGAAUAACAAUGUCCAAUUCUGUCAAUAAGACGAUCUUCAGUCUCCAUAAGACCCACCUAACCUCUGAUGCAAUUAUAAAUCCAGGAAGAAAAAGAAAUUAUAUAGAGCACUUCAUUGAGAAGUUGACUAUGAUGCGCGACCAUUUCAUUUAACGAAUAACGAGCAGUGCUCCAAGCCCAAGGUUUCCCUGAAAAUCAGAUGCCUCUUUUCAUAGCUACAACGGAUGGGUAGGGAGGAGAGCUGCAUUGUCCAUUCUUCAGUUCAAGAAAAAGGCGACACAGGGCAUUUAUAUUGCUAACAGAGGAUGGUUAUCUGUUUCAUGAUAUGCUCCAAUCAACCCAUUUAUCUUCCGAGCAUGAUACAUUCUGUGUAUGUAAAAGUAGAACACCUGCCAGGCAAGAAUAUAUAGUUGUGACUCUCACCCACUAGACCCUUUGGCCUAUGUUCCAACUUCCAACUACUACUCUGACCUCCCUUCCAGCUCUUGCCUUGCAUUACAGAGUACAAGUUUGACUUCAAUCUCUGGUGGGCUGGUGUGUGAUCAACUGAACCUGCACUAUCAUGCUCAGUCUAAACAAUUUAAUUUCAUGCUAUGAUCAAAUCUAAUUUAAAACAGCUGCAUGGCAAAGCACACCUCCAGUUCUCAAUGUUUUAUAAUCUAGCAUGCUGCACUGGACUGAUNNNNNNNNNNNNNNNNNNNNNNNNNNNNNNNNNNNNNNNNNNNNNNNNNNNNNNNNNNNNNNNNNNNNNNNNNNNNNNNNNNNNNNNNNNNNNNNNNNNNNNNNNNNNNNNNNNNNNNNNNNNNNNNNNNNNNNNNNNNNNNNNNNNNNNNNNNNNNNNNNNNNNNNNNNNNNNNNNNNNNNNNNNNNNNNNNNNNNNNNNNNNNNNNNNNNNNNNNNNNNNNNNNNNNNNNNNNNCAUCACUUGCUUGAUCACAUUUCAUAGCUUUUGACCGUGCUCUUAUUUUUCUAUCAAUGGCAGCUGGAGCUGCAUUUACAUAGUCAUGUAGUUUAUUGGUUCAGUACAAAUUAUCUCUAGUACAAGUAGUACAAGAUGUUAAGGUGAAACACAAUAAUAAGGUAUGGGCUAAAUAUGCAUCCCUGACCUGUACAUAGUGCAUGCUAAUCAAAAAAGGUAUAUGUGUAGAGUUAAAAAUGUUUCAAACAAAUUAAGUUUAUGGUAUGAUUUCAUCUAAUCUAAUCAAAACAUGUAUCCUCCGAACAGCAUACAGUAAAAGUAUGCAAUGAUAUCCAAGAAACAUGUAUCCUCCGAACAGCAUACGGUAAAAGUAUGCAAUGGUCUCCAAGAAACAUGUAUCCUCCAAACAACAUACAGUAAAAGUAUGCAAUGAUCUCCAAGAAAUAUGUAAGCAACUGAAUCGACAAAAGCCAUCUAGAAACAGCAGUGACAUAUUGUGUCCGGUAAUUGCAUUUAGUCACAUUAGUACCAAGUAACUAGGUAAGAGUGCAUACAAUGAUCUCCAAGAGAUAAUACAUGAUUUUAACUAGUGUUUAUACUCUAGCAAGGGACACUCCCAACAUCAGCCAAAUGAGUUAUGCAGCGAAUGUUUUGGCCCAGAAACUGUAACCCAGUG